UUGAUCCAUUAUUUGUGACUAAAAUAAAUGGAAGGUGAGAGAAAAUAAAUUUAAAAAUUAUAAUAGUUAAAUGGGCAGGAAUUGCCACACUUGUUGAAUAUGUAGGUGGAGGAGAGAGAAAGGGGCUAGUUAGGCAAUCUGCAAAUCCAUAAUUUGCGUUUGUGCUCCCUUUCAAUUCCUUUGCUUUUGUGCUUCCAAUCAGUUUUUUCAUCUGCUACUAAUAGUCACACAAAAUGGAGUCUCUUCUCCUUUUCAAUUUGUUAGUCUAUGUUCAAACCAAUUUUCUGCUACUUAAAGUCGGUGAAAAAGGAGUUGCAAAUUGCGAUGUUUUCUGCUGCUUCUCUUCCACAGCAG
rnacentral:misc_RNA from 1 species